rnacentral:rRNA from 1 species
AUUACGUCCCUGCCCUUUGUACACACCGCCCGUAGCUACUACCGAUUGAAUGGCUUAGUGAGACUUUCGGAUGUGUUUGGAGCCGCUGGCAACAGUGACACCUUGCGCAGAAGUUAUUCAAACUUGGUCAUUUAGAGGAAGUAAAAGUCGUAACAAGGUUUCCGUAGGUGAACCUGCGGAAGGAUCAUUA